UAGUGGCGAACGGGUGAGUAACACGUGGGCAAUCUGCCCUGCACUCUGGGACAAGCCCUGGAAACGGGGUCUAAUACCGGAUAACACUCUUGCAGGCAUCUGNGAGGGUUAAAAGCUCCGGCGGUGCAGGAUGAGCCCGCGGCCUAUCAGCUUGUUGGUGAGGUAAUGGCUCACCAAGGCGACGACGGGUAGCCGGCCUGAGAGGGCGACCGGCCACACUGGGACUGAGACACGGCCCAGACUCCUACGGGAGGCAGCAGUGGGGAAUAUUGCACAAUGGGCGAAAGCCUGAUGCAGCGACGCCGCGUGAGGGAUGACGGCCUUCGGGUUGUAAACCUCUUUCAGCAGGGAAGAAGCGAAAGUGACGGUACCUGCAGAAGAAGCGCCGGCUAACUACGUGCCAGCAGCCGCGGUAAUACGUAGGGCGCAAGCGUUGUCCGGAAUUAUUGGGCGUAAAGAGCUCGUAGGCGGCUUGUCACGUCGAUUGUGAAAGCCCGAGGCUUAACCUCGGGUCUGCAGUCGAUACGGGCUAGCUAGAGUGUGGUAGGGGAGAUCGGAAUUCCU
rnacentral:rRNA from 1 species